CCUCAUCCUCUAUACAUACGGUCUGAUGAGUUGGUUUUGCUUGUGUUGUGAGGAGGCAUGUUGUGGUUAACAUCGAGUCAGGGUGCCUACCUUUGUAUUUGAAUCUGUGAGAUCUGGACCGUCAACCGCCAUGACCAUGAUCAACGCGUCCUCGGCCUCCCAGACGAGGAUGGAAUGAGCAGGGCAAGAGAAGAGGAGGGAGCAGGCCGACGCCCGACAGCG